GUGACGGCUCCCUCUUUUCUGACGCACCCAGCCGGGAGCGCGGGGCUGUAUAUAAGGAGGGGACGCGCUGCCUGCCUGACACUUCACUCGGCAGCCAGGACGGCAAGAGCCAGGAGAGAGUAGAGCCCUGAGAUUUCCAGAGAUGAACCUGAUGCUUCAAGUCACCGUCCUCAGCCUCCUGUGCCUGCUGGGGCCGGGCUGGGCUGAGAACAGAUCCCUGCUGAGGGAGAGAUGGAGCGCGCUGGGCCUGCCGCAGAACAGAGAGCUGUUCCUAAGUGCCCUGCAGAGUUAUUUCCGCAGCAGAGGGAUCCACAUAGAGAAGACUGCGCCGGCCUUCGAGUUGCCCAUGAGGAAUCACAACCUGGGGGACCAGGAAGAACGAGAGCUGGUGGCCCUGGAGACCGGGGUAGAUGACUAGGAAGAGCCAAUGGCAGGUAGAGUCUUGGCAACAUAAGCUCUUCUGUCUCUGAGUACUUCACAGGAAUGCACUGACUCUCUCCUGCCACUUCACUGCUGUGAGUGUGUACACACAGACACACACACGUGACCUGUUUAUAUUUGUGAGGCUCUGCCUGCAAUACUGAGCUGUAGGGUGUGGAGCCAAUAAAUUCUCCUCUUUAACGUUUGUCCUGUCACCUUCUUUGUGAAUACCAGCAAUCAACAAGCUGCCCUUUGGCUGGGUCUCCACACGCGUGACUCAUGCUGCUUCCUCCAUCCUCCAGAUCAGCCUAGGAUUCAGCAAGAAGGAUUCGC